UUCUACUGAGGUUGAAUUCAACACGAGGGGACUGACUCUCCUUGUCCCAGGCCUCCUGUCUUCCCCACAGACCUGGGUGCUCAUGAGCAGAGCACAGAGCUGUUCUGAAUGAUGUAUAACUAGCUAGCUAUUGAUACUCAUCCCAACGAAUGAUCACCCUUUCCUUUAAACAACCAAAACAUUGUGUAUAAUAGGUGUCCAGCACUGUGCUGGAGAUGGGGUGGAUUUAGGAAGGUCCUAGAAAAAUACAAGGUGUGAUCACUCCCCUCAAAGAGCUUACAGUCAAACUGGGAAGAAGAUCAGUAGCAAUCAGAUCUACAAUGAGAGUGGAGGGUAAUUGGUAUAGAUAUUUACUAUGCAAUUUUAUUCAACAAACAUUUAUUAAACUCUCACUACACGCAGGGCAGUAUGUUAGGUGCUGGGGAUACAACAAUGAGUUAGACAUAGUCCCUGCCCUCAGGGAUGUCACAGUCUAGUGGGAGUGGGGGGCAUGAGUCAUAGAAACAGCCAAUAUAAACCCAUUAUUCCUGCCUGACCCUCCCAUGCCAAUCCAAGGAAAAAGAUAUGGUGAGGCCCUCUCAGAUAGGCAGCAGCUUAGAGAAGCUCAGCCAUCUACAAUUAGGGACAACAUCCACCUCAGGUCUGGACACAGAGGAUACUCCAUAGUAGCCUUAAUCCCAUAUUGAUCCCAACCUCAAAGUAAUUUCCCCAGAUUUUGCCCUAACAGGGUGUCUGUUCCUAGAUCCUUUAGGGUGUGAUUGAGUUGAAGGACAAGAGAAGAAGGAGCUAGCUGAGUUGAGAAUGGAGGGUGAGACUUAGGGGCUGCUGAGGGACAGCUGGGAAGAGAAGCCUGGGGAGGGCAGGGAUGGGGCCAUCCCAGGUCAUGGGCUGACCUUCUGGCCGCUGGAUACAGGUAUGCUGGUUGUCGCUGAGGAAGAAGCCUUCCCGGCAGUGGCACUCAUAGCUGCCCAUCAUGUUGACACAGCUCUGCUGACAGCCGCCGUUGCCCUCGGCACACUCGUCCACAUCUGUGCAGGAUAGGUAGUCAGUGGGGUCAUGGGGUACAGGCAGGGUCCAGGGUAUAUCCCAAGACUUCAGCACCAAAGGCAGUCUUAAGAACUACUACCCCCUAAGCCCAGCCUUAAGCCAGGAAGUCCUCACACCCUUGUCAGCUAAUAUUUCACUAAGUGUAAAAAGGCUGCCCUGAGGGCAGAGCUGGGAAGCUAAGCAAGUGGGGGAAAAGGGGACCUUUGAACCUCAAAUGUCACCUAGGUGAAGCCAUGCCUCCCUUUCCCUCACCUGUGUAAACUGGGUAUGAAGACAGAGGACACCAGGAAAGAAGCCAGAGAAAGAGGAACAGUGAUGAAGCCAACCAUCAUACCAGUUGAUUCUAAGUGCUGGGAGCCUCUGUCUACACUUACUCUCCACCUCGCUCAGGCUCCAUAGGCAUGGUGUCUACCUGCUGGCCCAUCCUGGGAAGUCAUCCCAACGUGACAGAAUGGAAAAGAGAGGGCAUGGAAGACUAGUUCAUAGGUAAGGGCAAGAGGGACCUCGCAGAUGGUAAGGUGCUCUGUGGAGAAUCAGUUUGUCCAACUGAUAAACAGAAAACAGUACAAAGAAAUGUGCUAUCACAGAACGAUCUUAAGCACUGGAACCAGUCAGUCCCAGAUUCAAAUCCAGCUCUACCCUUCUCUAGGGAUGGUUUUCUUAUUCUCCAUCUCCUCCCCCUUAAAAUGGGGAUGAUAAUACCUCCUCAUGAGAGGCUGUGAGUAGCUGAUGGGAUAAUUUGUGUAAAUUGGCUAAUAAAGUAUCUGGUAAACAGUAGGGUCCCAAUACAGGAAGCUUGAGAUGGUAUUAAAUCACUGGUCAGGCAAUAGAUGCUCGAGACAGUAUGACAGCCACUAGCCACAUGUGGUUAUUUAAUUUAAAAUUCACUUCCUCAGUUGCACUAGCCACAGGCCAAAUGCGCAAUAGCCACAUGUGGCUAGUGGCUACCAUGGCGGAAAGCAUAGAUAUGGAACAUUUCCAACACCACAGAAAUAGCACUGCUAUUAGCACACCACAGGAUAGCACUGCUCUGGGGUUCUGAAUAAGAGAUACUCCCUGGGUCCAGCAGCACGGAUACUGGUCUGGAACUGCUCCCCUGACCAUAUCAGAGGUAUGUGCCUGUGACUGAAUCAGCUGGUGCUUCACUAGAGACUGUGUCAGACUAUAUGGGCUCCCAAUUCUUUCCUUUGCCUCCCAUUCAGUGCUCACCAGUACUAGAGUGGAUCUUGAUGCUGAUCACCACAAACCCAGGCCUCCCAGCAGAUUCUUUUUUUUUUUUUUUUUUUUUUUUUUGAGAUGAAGUCUCGGUCUGUCACCCAGGCUGGAGUACAGUAGUGGUGUGAUCUCGGCUCACUGCAACCUCUGCCUCCCAGGUUCAAGCUAUUCUUCUGCCUCAGCCUCCUGAGUAUCUGGGAUUACAGGCAUGUGCCACCACACUUGGCUAAUUUUUGUAUUAUUAAUAGAGACAUGGUUUUGCCACAUUGGCCAGGCUGGUCUCGAACUCCUGACCUCAAGUGAUCUGCCCGCCUUAGCCUCCCAAAGUGCUGGGAUUACAGGCGCGAGCCACUACACCUGGCCACAGAUUUUUUAGACCCCUCCUACAGCCAGACUUCUCCCACCAUCUAACUAACCCCUCUCCCUUACCUCCCUGCUCACAAUGCUUAUCCCUCUCCAGCAAAGAGUCUCUGCUCUGGAAGACAUUAUCUCUUCCUGUUCCCUCUACAAUACCUAACCAUCCUAUUCCUUUCUAUGCAUUUGCGUAUUUUCGUUAUUCACAUUGCAGAUGCAUUCCUCAUUUUUCUCUUCCAGCCACACUAUGCUCAGCUUUCCAUUCCAGCUCAAAUUUUUCUUCCCAAAAGCUCUUCCUUGUAAGCCCCGUUCCUGGUGAGUUCCUGGUCCAAGGGGACUGUUCUCCUCAGUUCAUUUACAGCCGUCACUGAAUUGCUCUGCUAAUACUUUAAAGCGUGUUCAGCUUUCCUCACCUGGCUGGGUACCUGCUGAGGAAGAUGUCCCUUCAAUGUUUGGUUGGAGUCUUUUGAAGCAGAACAGACCUAAGACAAAGCUGUGAAAGAGGGCCCCAAAUUAUACCCAGUAUCUCCUCCUUUUACCACUCAUUCUUCCAGAGUUCUCUCCUACCAUAUGUGCCCACCCAGAAUUUGUCCUUGCAAGGACCCUUCAACGCUCACAGCACAGUCUCAUCUUAGCCUGUUCUCUCAGGAUGCAGGUGCUUACUAGCUGGAAAACCAGUUGAUGCUACUGGGUGUGGACUGGUUUAAACCAGCGGUUCUCAACCCUGGGGCUACACACUGGAAUUCCCUGGGGGUUUUGAAAAAAAUGUGAAUGUACAGAUGUCCCCUAGACCAGCUGAAUCAGGAUCUCCAGGGUGAGGCUGUGGCUACUAUCUGUCUUCCUUUCCCAAGGUAAUGCCAAUAAACUAUUUGCCCAAGCUGGGAAGAGACCAGGGCAGCCACAUGACAGAGUAGUUAAGAGAGAGGUUCUGGAGCAACAUUGUCAGUUCAAUUGCUAGCUCUACCUGUGUCUGUGUGGUCCUGGGCCAGCCUCUGAACUUACCUGUUCCCUCCUCUGUAUGUGGGAAUAAUAUUCAUCAUAGUACCUCCCCAUGGGGCUUCCAGGAACAUCAGUUGAAUUAAUACCCAUCAAGUACUUAACACCACAGUGUGGGCAUAUAGAAAGUGCUCAACAAAGGUUUGCUAUUUUUUUCUUUCUUUUUGAAACAGAGACAGGGUCUUGCUCUGCUUAUCCAGGCAGGAAUGCAAUGGCAUGAACAUAGCUCACUGCAACCUCGAAAUCCUGGGCUCAAGUGAUCCUCCCACCUCAGCCUACUGAGUAACUGGGACUAUAUGCGCGUGGCAUCAUGCUCAGCCAAUUUUUUAAAAUUUUUAGAGGCAGGGUCUUGCUAUGUUGCCCAAGCUGGUCUCGAACUCCUGGAUUUGAACGACCCUCUCAUGUCAGCCUCCCAAAGUGCUGGUAUUACAGGUGUGAGUCGCCAUGCCUAGCCAAGGUUUGCUACUAUUAUUCCUUCUCUCCAACCUUCUCCCUGUAUUCUUUCUGAACUCCCUUUCCCUAUCAAAGCCCCAUUUCAGGCCUGGUGUGGGGAAAUGCAGCACCAGGUGAGCAUGUGUUGGUGGGGAGGAUUUGGGGAGACACAUCCCCACUGCUUACUCUACCUGUGCUGGGAACUGCACAAAGAAUGGGGGUGAAGUGGGUGAGAGGCCAGUUGGGAACCCAAAAGCUGUCCUCUACAAUUCUUUUUGAAGGCUAGGGAGAUCCCACUCCUACUUCAGGCCAUGCAUUGGAACCAAAGUUGAGGUGGGGGAGAGUGGUGGCUGCACAGAUACCAUAGACAAGCCAAGACCUCCCUGCCUCGCCCUGUCCUGGCAUGAAGGCACAGGUCUGUAACUACAGCAGCUUUUCCCAGUACCAUCUGACAUUUCUUCUGAAUUUGCUUUAGCGCCUAGCAGAGCACUCCAUAAACUCUCCUAAAGUAGGUAGGAAGGGUAGGAUGGGGUAUGGGAUAUGAGGGUCAGAGGGUCAGACCAGAAAGGGUGGAUUAUUAUAAAACAAGUAGUCCUAAGAUUCUGAGGAUGGGCAGGUGUACCCUAAAAGGGAAGCAGUGGGAUUCCCAAGUAAAUACUUCAUCUACUUCACAAGUUUGCCCAAGCCCAGCUCAGGAACAGUAACAAAUGGAAAUGAGCAGGGAUGCCGGCUGUGGACAAGCAGACCCCCUAGGUAGAGUCCACCCCACCUUCCCAUUACCACAGGAAUUAUUACCUUACCACCCAUAGGGGAGGGGGUAAUUGUGGGCAAAUUUGAUGGGCCCAGUGGGACAGUCAGAAACAGCCUGCCUAGAGCCCUAAUGUACCCACCCACAUAGCUGUGACAUCCUCAGCCCAGCCAGGCUAGCCCAGGAUAUAUGGUGUGUGUAGCGCACUCUGCUAUUUUCCUCUCCUUGAAUGUCCUUGAGGACCCAGUUCAGGUGCCUCUGCUGGGACACUCCCUGUGACACUACCAGCCUUCUCUGAUCUACUCUUUCUCUUGACUCCUAAGACUUACUGUCAGGCUCUCUGGUCACCUGAUCAAUCCCAGGCUUGUGAUACCUCAUAUGCUACCUUGUACCAUUAUUUAACUUUUAGUUCAUGUGUAUAAUUUUCCUACUGAAGCAGUAGGAGCUUGAGGCCAUGGCUCCUAAAGCUUUGAAACCCAUGCAGCAACUGAAAUAGAGCUCAGCAUUCAUUCAUUCACUCACUCACUCAAUAGUUAUUGAGCACCUCCAACAUGCGAAGCACCGUGCUAGGUGCUGGGGAUUUGGCAGUGAACCAGAGAUGAAUUCUACAUUGAAGCCACUUAGUAAAUAUUUGUUAAACAGAUAGACGAGUGGAUGGAGACAUGGAUGCAUUAGUAGUGAGUGGAUAAUGUCUCUAUCUGUGGCAUCCCUUCUGCUCUAUGUUACCUCAGAGAAAAAUCUCACUUCUUUACUCUCCGUGAUCCCACAACUGUUCUGGAUGGGGGAAGUCCCAGGAAGUUUAGUCUCAAGUGGAGAGUAGGGAGAGAGGAAACUAAAUUCAGAGGGGUAGUACCCACUUAAAGGCAUCCAUAUGAUGAGUGCUGGGGCCAGAAGAGACUGGAACCAAUGAGUCAUAGGGUCUCAGGGUCUUCAGACAUCAUAUGGGGCUGCUACAGGGAUCUUUUCAGAGCAUCCCCUUCAACAGAUGUUCCUCAGCCUCCAUGCUAACUCUCAAUGAUGGGGCACCUGACACAGGCAUUCCACUGCUUGCCCCUGGUGAUUUCCCUCAUUCUCACCUCUAAGUAACAUCCAAAAUAAAACCAGCCCAGCCUUGGGCCAUGAUAUCCUAACCCACAGCAUGUGCACAUGUACCCACAUCUGCAUAUCUGCUCUACCUCCAGAUCAAAAUAGCAACCAGGGAGAUUGGCAGAGCCUGGAGUACCAGGCUGUCUUCCCAGUUUGGGACUGGCUGAGGCACUGUGACUUCAGUGAGAGUCUGGGCCCAUCCUCAGUCUAGAAAAAGCUUAUGCAAGGAUGAGGGUAGCCUAGAGAAAGUCCAGAAAACCACACAAAUGACCACCUGUUGAUUCCAAGGCGGAGACAGAGCACUUUCUCCUUUUAAAAACAGUAUCCUCUCCUCUCACUCAAGCUUAGCCUGCUCAACUGAACAGCCAGGAAAAGCUGCUGGUGUUUGGUGAUUUGAAGGGAAGGGGGUCUGAACCUCAGAAGCUUGUCACUUACUGGGGACCCUGAUGAGUUUCUCUCUGUUGUCCUGCCUUAUCCCUAAUCUAGCUCCCUGAUCAUUUGAAUGUAACCCUAAUUGGACAAGAAUUUUCUCCCUUUCAGUAUGGACAAAAUCAACAACCAUGAAUCAGAGACUUUUAGAGGAUGGGUAGUGAAGUGGGGGAAGAACAGAACAUUGUAGAGUGAGGGGCAGAGAGGCAGGCAGUGGGCAUGGGUAGGUUCUGGUUUUGUGAUUAGUAAUAUUAUCUCUUUAAUUGAAAAAAAUAAACUCAUUUCAGAUUCGUAUAAUUUCACUAAGUGUACAGUUUUUUCAUGCAGGUUGGUUCACGUGGUCUUCAAACUGUCCUCUCUCAUCUGGGGCCCAGUGAGGAUACCUCAGGAAAGAGCAAGUAGCUAGUGUAAAGCCAGGAUCCAGGUCUUCAAACUCCCAGUCCAGUGCUCUCUAACUACCCACUGUGUUCUCUAAGCACUUGAGGGAGGAAUCCAUGCCUUAGUCAUUAUUGUACCUCCCCCAACUCCACCUCAGCACUUAGUUCAGCAUGAAGCAUGCAUCCAGUAUAUAACCGUGGAGCGGAAGGAGCUGAAAUGUACAUGAUCCAGGGAGGAAAUCAGCAGUGGGAAUGCAGAUGCUCUGAGGCUUUGGGCAUGGGAGCAGCAGAAGAGAGCAAGGCUGAGUAGUGGGCAGGGAGGGUACAGACACAGUUGCAAUAAGGAAAGGGUGGGCAAUGCAACAGUGGGCAGGUGUUGCCUGCCCUUGGAUUCACUAUGCUGGGGCCAAGCAGCUGGUUAGAAACAAAAACAAACACCAGGGAUACAGGUUCCUGCUGUUAACAGCUUCAAACCGCCAGAGGAAAACUCCAAAUAAAUAUAAUUAGAAACUUGUAAAAACGUCCUCUCUGUAAACCUGCUCCCCAGGGUCUACCCUUCAAGCACUCCCCUUCCCCAGCCCUCCCCCCAAUGCCCACAUAUCCUGAUACUCCCCACUUUCAGAGGGAUUCCUUAGAUGUGUUUCCUUAUCCUGGAUCUUCCCUCCAGCCCUGCAGCCCCUGCCCAGGUCUUUCCUCAGCUUGUUACCACCAGUGACCAGACCUGAAGAGCCCCUGGUGUAGGCUCAGAAAUCCAAACCCCACAGCUCUCUAGGGCUAUGGUUAUAACCACAGGGAAAACCAGAGGUAAGAGCAAGGACCACUGUGCCCUAUAUAGGGGUCAUCAUCCCAUUUGUUCAGCCAAAGCACAGCAUCUAACAGCAACUACAAAGCAGUGCUUGAUCUGCAGGGGGACAUGUCUAGGCUAGGGCAGAAUACAGACAGCUAGUCUCAGAGCUAGAAACACGGAAUCCUGGGGCCCAGAUCCAAGAAUAUUCAGUUCCCAUAACACGGAUAUUUCAGCUCCACUUCCCAACUUUGUUGGAUACACACAUAUAGAAACACACAUGUGUUCUUCAGGGGCUAUUUCCAGGGAUAAAUACCCACUUCAUGGACACAGUAAGAACUAUCAGCUACUUGGGGUUCCAGGAAACUGGGGUGGGGGAAGAAAGGAAGAGUAUCCAGAUGACCUAGCCUCAGGCAGGCAGAAGUGGACCAGCAUCCAAGGAGGAGAGCGCCUGAGAUUUGGGUGAGUAACCUGUGGAGGCCCGGCGCCUUCUGCCUUCAGCAGGAAGGAUUUCAGUGAGAUGUGCAGAAUCUCAGGGCUGCAGGGAACCCUACUGAUAUUUUACAAGUGAGAAGAGGGAUUUCAGUGAUUUCCUCCGAGGCUCAAAUCCUUAGGCUCUGCAUUUGUCUAAACCCACUGGCACCAUAUACCUCUAUAUCCCCGGUGCCACUUGAGGCUGGCAUUGGGUGGGCAUAGGAACAGGAGAGUAGCCAGUCCAAUGUUAAGUGGCCAGUGGGGGAGGGGAGUCUCUGUCCCCUCUUAGCCCAGGUGACUAGCUCCUGUACCCCCUAGACAUCCCUGGGUUGGCCGUUGUUUCGCUUCUAUACCCAAGGCCCAGCAGUCCUUCUGUUUCCAGACUCCAGUCUUCUGAGCCUGAAGAAGCUGUCCCCAGGUCUGGGCCUCUUGCAGGCACUGCCAGCCUCAGAGCAGCUCUGCAGUUUCCAGCCCUGACAGGGACUCUUUCUUAUAAGUGGUCAUGUGCUAGGGAUACGGGAUGUCAAAGGAGGCCCACACCCUGACAUUUGGGGACCAGAGCUGGGGGAAAGGACUGAGUGAGUUCAGGCAGCAAGCUCUUCCAGCUCCAUCUUCUCAAAAGGUCUGAAGCCCUUCGUUCCCUUCCCCUGUCCUCAGUUCAAGGCACUGGACCAAGCCAUUCCACUUCUUUACUUCUCCAACUAAAACAAAAUGCAUAUUGCCCCACUUCCUUUUUCCUCUCACCAGAGCACUUCACACACACACACACCCUGAGUCAUGCACACACAUUCACACGUGUGUGAAUGCACACUUCACAUUCCCAAACUCACACCCAGGGCCGGCUCCUCUUACAACAGGUCCCAGCUGCUCACAUCUCAAACCGGUUCUCAUGCUCUCAGAUUCCUGAAGGUUUCAAAAAACAAUCUCAUUUGAGGGCUGCUGAUGACUGUCUUCUUUCUCUGCCU
rnacentral:lncRNA from 10 species